rnacentral:rRNA from 1 species
GAUGAACGCUGGCGGCGUGCCUAAUACAUGCAAGUCGAGCGAACAGACGAGUAUCUUGCUCCUCUGACGUUAGCGACGGACGGGUGAGUAACACGUGGAUAACCAACCUAUAAGACUGGGAUAACUUCGGGAAACCGGAGCUAAUACCGGAUAAUAUAUUCAACCGCAUGGUUCGAUUGUGACUGACGGUUUUGCUGUCAAUUCUAGAUGGAUCCGCGCCGCUUUAGCUAGUCGGUAAGGUAAGGGCUUACCAAGGCGACGAUGCGUAGCCGACCUGAGAGGGUGAUCGGCGACACUGGAACUGAGACACGGUCCAGACUCCUACGGGAGGCAGCAGUAGGGAAUCUUCCGCGAUGGGCGAAAGGCAGACGGAGCAACGCCGGGAGGGUGAUGAAGGUAUUCGGAUCUUAAAAUUCUGUGAUUAGGGAAGAACAAAUGUGUAAGUAACUAUGCACGUCAUGACGGUACCUAAUCAAAAAGCCACGGCUAACUACGUG